rnacentral:rRNA from 1 species
AUUGAACGCUGGCGGCAGGCCUAACACAUGCAAGUCGAGCGGCAGCGGGAAAGUAGCUUGCUACUUUUGCCGGCGAGCGGCGGACGGGUGAGUAAUGCCUGGGAAAUUGCCCAGUCGAGGGGGAUAACAGUUGGAAACGACUGCUAAUACCGCAUACGCCCUACGGGGGAAAGCAGGGGACCUUCGGGCCUUGCGCGAUUGGAUAUGCCCAGGUGGGAUUAGCUAGUUGGUGAGGUAAUGGCUCACCAAGGCGACGAUCCCUAGCUGGGCUGAGAGGAUGAGCGGCCACACUGGAACUGAGACACGGUCCAGACUCCUACGGGAGGCAGCAGUGGGGAAUAUUGCACAAUGGGGGAAACCCUGAUGCAGCCAUGCCGCGUGUGUGAAGAAGGCCUUCGGGUUGUAAAGCACUUUCAGCGAGGAGGAAAGGUCAGUAGCUAAUAUCUGCUGACUGUGACGUUACUCGCAGAAGAAGCACCGGCUAACUCCGUGCCAGCCGCCGCGGUAACAC